rnacentral:rRNA from 1 species
GAAUAUUGGACAAUGGGCGAAAGCCUGAUCCAGCAAUGCCGCGUGAGUGAUGAAGGCCCUAGGGUUGUAAAGCUCUUUUACCCGGGAUGAUGAUGACAGUACCGGGAGAAUAAGCCCCGGCUAACUCCGUGCCAGCAGCCGCGGUAAUACGGAGGGGGCUAGCGUUGUUCGGAAUUACUGGGCGUAAAGCGCACGUAGGCGGAUAUUUAAGUCAGGGGUGAAAUCCCGCAGCUCAACUGCGGAACUGCCUUUGAUACUGGAUAUCUUGAGUAUGGAAGAGGUGAGUGGAAUUCCGAGUGUAGAGGUGAAAUUCGUAGAUAUUCGGAGGAACACCAGUGGCGAAGGCGGCUCACUGGUCCAUAACUGACGCUGAGGUGCGAAAGCGUGGGGAGCAAACAGG